AUAUCAAUAAGCGGAGGAAAAGAAACCAACAGGGAUUGCCCUAGUAACGGCGAGUGAAGCGGCAACAGCUCAAAUUUGAAAUCUGGCUCUUUUAGGGUCCGAGUUGUAAUUUGCAGAGGGCGCUUUGGCGUUGGCAGCGGUCCAAGUUCUUUGGAACAGGACGUCACAGAGGGUGAGAAUCCCGUACGUGGUCGCUAGCCUUCGCCGUGUAAAGCCCCUUCGACGAGUCGAGUUGUUUGGGAAUGCAGCUCUAAAUGGGAGGUAAAUUUCUUCUAAAGCUAAAUACUGGCCAGAGACCGAUAGCGCACAAGUAGAGUGAUCGAAAGAUGAAAAGCACUUUGGAAAGAGAGUCAAAUAGCACGUGAAAUUGUUGAAAGGGAAGCGCUUGCAGCCAGACUUGCCUGUAGUUGCUUAUCUAGACUUUUGUCUAGUGCACUCUUCUGCGGGCAGGCCAGCAUCAGUUUAGGCGGUUGGAUAAAGGUCUCUAUCACGUACCUCCCUUCGGGGUUGGCCUUAUAGGGGAGACGACAUGCAGCCAGCCUGAACUGAGGUCCGCGCAUCUGCUAGGAUGCUGGCGUAAUGGCUGUAAGCGG
rnacentral:rRNA from 1 species